GAGUUUGAUCAUGGCUCAGGAUGAACGCUGGCGGCGUGCUUAACACAUGCAAGUCGAACGAACCUUCGGGUUAGUGGCGGACGGGUGAGUAACGCGUGGGAAUCUGCCCUCAGGAGGGGGAUAACGGUUGGAAACGACCGCUAAUACCCCAUAUGCCGAGAGGUGAAAUGAAUUUCGCCUGAGGAUGAGCCCGCGUCUGAUUAGCUUGUUGGUGAGGUAAUGGCUCACCAAGGCAUCGAUCAGUAGCUGGUCUGAGAGGAUGAUCAGCCACACUGGGACUGAGACACGGCCCAGACUCCUACGGGAGGCAGCAGUGGGGAAUUUUCCGCAAUGGGCGAAAGCCUGACGGAGCAACGCCGCGUGAGGGACGAAGGCCUCUGGGCUGUAAACCUCUUUUCUCAAGGAAGAAGAUAUGACGGUACUUGAGGAAUAAGCCACGGCUAAUUCCGUGCCAGCAGCCGCGGUAAUACGGGAGUGGCAAGCGUUAUCCGGAAUUAUUGGGCGUAAAGCGUCCGCAGGCGGCCUUUCAAGUCUGCUGUUAAAACGUGGAGCUUAACUCCAUCAUGGCAGUGGAAACUGAUUGGCUUGAGUAUGGUAGGGGCAGAGGGAAUUCCCGGUGUAGCGGUGAAAUGCGUAGAUAUCGGGAAGAACACCAGUGGCGAAGGCGCUCUGCUGGGCCAUUACUGACGCUCAUGGACGAAAGCCAGGGCAGCGAAAGGGAUUAGAUACCCCUGUAGUCCUGGCCGUAAACGAUGAACACUAGGUGUCGGGGGGAAUCGACCCCUUCGGUGUCGUAGCUAACGCGUUAAGUGUUCCGCCUGGGGAGUACGCACGCAAGUGUGAAACUCAAAGGAAUUGACGGGGGGCCCGCACAAGCGGUGGAGUAUGUGGUUUAAUUCGAUGCAACGCGAAGAACCUUACCAGGGGCUUGACAUCCUGCGAACCUUUAAGAAAUUAGAGGGUGCCUUCGGGAACGCAGUGACAGGUGGUGCAUGGCUGUCGUCAGCUCGUGUCGUGAGAUGUUGGGUUAAGUCCCGCAACGAGCGCAACCCACGUUUUUAGUUGCCAGCAUUUAGUUGGGCACUCUAGAAAGACCGCCGGUGAUAAACCGGAGGAAGGUGUGGAUGACGUCAAGUCAUCAUGCCCCUUACGUCCUGGGCUACACACGUACUACAAUGCUACGGACAAAGGGCAGCAAACUCGCGAGAGCUAGCAAAUCCCAUAAACCGUGGCUCAGUUCAGAUCGUAGGCUGCAACUCGCCUACGUGAAGUAGGAAUCGCUAGUAAUCGCAAGUCAGCAUACUGCGGUGAAUACGUUCCCGGGCCUUGUACACACCGCCCGUCACACCAUGGAAGUUGGCCACGCCCGAAGUCGUUACUUUAACCCUUGUGGAGAAGGACGCCGAAGGUGGGGCUGAUGACUGGGGUGAAGUCGUAACAAGGUAACC
rnacentral:rRNA from 1 species